rnacentral:lncRNA from 1 species
UUAUAAAUUCUUCUUACAAUUAAGAGUAUUUGUAGAAUAACUUAACCCUAUAUAAUAUUCAUAUUAUCCUUUGGGUAACACCAUUGUAAUCAAAAGUAGAUUGGAUAUUAUGUUGGAAAAACAUACUAGUAAUAGUACUAUGAUUCUAUGAAUAACAUACGAACCUUUAAAGUAAAUAAACAUGUUUCAUCUCAAAUAUCAUUCAACUAUAAUCAACCCCUUUUGUGUUACAUGAUACUCGAGUUAAAAGUUAACACACGAACUUAUAUAUGUGUACGCUAUUAGAUAGAGGUGGCAAUCUUGACCCAAAGGCUUUCAAGUGGGUUAGUUUGGGUUGGUUUUAAAAUUAUAUAGGUUAGUUUGGGUAAGAUAUUUUAACUAAAUGGGUCACAACGGGUCAAUUGAAAUUUCAUCUUGUUAUUUUCGGGUCAAAACGGGUCGACAACUUUAAAGAAAUGGGUCGAUGUGGGUUAGCACCUUAAAGAAACGGGUUAGAUUUUGGAUCAGAAUGGGUUUCGGGCCGGCACAGGUUACGGCAUGAAAUAGGUUUUGGAUCGGAACGGUUUCAGUUCGAAUCGAGUUUCGGACCGAGACGAGUUU